AAGUCGUAACAAGGUUUCCGUAGGUGAACCUGCGGAAGGAUCAUUAACACGUAUCCAAACGUUAAACCCCCCUGUGAACCUUCAGUCGUACUCGUACGUCCGUUAGAAAAAGCAGCAAUCCCUGGUCAGGGACGUCUGCAAGGAGCGUGCAUGUUGUGCGUGUAAGUGGCCUGGCAUCCCCAAGCAGUUAGUGUCUGAAAGUGUCACUAACGUUAGUGUCUGAAAGUGUCACUAACAUGUGUAAGGAUGACGCAGUCACGAUCGUUGGAGGCCCACACGGCCGACGACCGGGUCACUGGGUGCAAGCCCCCUUAUCACACCCCUGCUCUAUCUAUGGUGAUCCUGCGGGAAGUCCUGCGGUCGAACGCCGAAACCGAACAACUGUUAACAAUGGAUAUCUUGGUUCUC
rnacentral:misc_RNA from 1 species